rnacentral:rRNA from 1 species
GCUCAGAUUGAACGCUGGCGGCAGGCCUAACACAUGCAAGUCGAACGGUAACAGGAAGCAGCUUGCUGCUUUGCUGACGAGUGGCGGACGGGUGAGUAAUGUCUGGGAAACUGCCUGAUGGAGGGGGAUAACUACUGGAAACGGUAGCUAAUACCGCAUAACGUCGCAAGACCAAAGAGGGGGACCUUCGGGCCUCUUGCCAUCGGAUGUGCCCAGAUGGGAUUAGCUAGUAGGUGGGGUAAAGGCUCACCUAGGCGACGAUCCCUAGCUGGUCUGAGAGGAUGACCAGCCACACUGGAACUGAGACACGGUCCAGACUCCUACGGGAGGCAGCAGU